ACGGAGUAUUCGAAGUCGUCGUUUCGUCGGUUCCAGAUUUUCAUCAUUGCUUGACCACUUUUGGAGUUCGAAGCCGCCUGUCUUUAGUAGAUUUUUUCAGAUGCGACGGGAUACUCUCCUCCUUCAUCGUGUGCUACCUGCUGCAGAGUUCGAACUGCAAGGUAAGGAGCAGACGCAGUACCAAAAGUGACACGUAAAAGGCGAAGAUGCUGUAAAUCUUCUGUAGUGUCUGUGCGCCACACUAAACGUUGAUAGUCUACAUCUUCUCUUGUUACCCUCACUUGACGGUACAUUUUGAUUAUGUCGGCAACCAGACAAAUAGGAUGUAGCCUCCAUCUUAAAACAAUGUGACGUA